rnacentral:rRNA from 1 species
AUUGAACGCUGGCGGCAGGCCUAACACAUGCAAGUCGAGCGGGGCGACGGGCGGGCGAGUAAUGAAUAGGAAUCUGCCUGGCAGUUGGGGAUGACGUCCGGAAAGGGGCGCUAAUACCUCACCCUAUCAGAUGAGCCUAGCUGGGAUGAGCUAGUUGGUGGGGUAAAGGCCUACCAAGGCGACGAUCCGUACCUGGUCUGAGUGGAUGAUCAGUCACACUGGAACUGAGACACGGUCCAGACUCCUACGGGAGGCAGCAGUGGGGAAUAUUGGACAAUGGGCGCAAGCCUGAUCCAGCCAUGCCGCGUGUGUGAAGAAGGCCUUCGGGUUGUAAAGCACUUUAAGUGGGGAGGCGUUACCAACAGAAGAAGCACCGGCUAACUCCGUGCCAGCAGCCGCGGUAAUAC